UACGUAGGGCGCAAGCGUUAUCCGGAAUUACUGGGCGUAAAGGGCGCGUAGGCGGCUUUGUAAGUCGGGGGUGAAAGCCUGUGGCUCAACCACAGAAUUGCCUUCGAUACUGCAUGGCUUGAGACCGGAAGAGGUAAGUGGAACUGCGAGUGUAGAGGUGAAAUUCGUAGAUAUUCGCAAGAACACCAGUGGCGAAGGCGGCUUACUGGUCCGGUUCUGACGCUGAGGCGCGAAAGCGUGGGGAGCAAACAGG
rnacentral:rRNA from 1 species